rnacentral:rRNA from 1 species
GAAUAUUGGACAAUGGGCGCAAGCCUGAUCCAGCCAUGCCGCGUGAGUGAUGAAGGCCUUAGGGUUGUAAAGCUCUUUUGGCGGGGACGAUAAUGACGGUACCCGCAGAAUAAGUCCCGGCUAACUUCGUGCCAGCAGCCGCGGUAAUACGAAGGGGGCUAGCGUUGUUCGGAUUUACUGGGCGUAAAGCGCACGUAGGCGGAUGGUUAAGUCAGGGGUGAAAUCCCGCAGCUCAACUGCGGAGCUGCCUUUGAUACUGGCCAUCUCGAGUCCGGAAGAGGUGAGUGGAACUCCUAGUGUAGAGGUGGAAUUCGUAGAUAUUAGGAAGAACACCAGUGGCGAAGGCGGCUCACUGGUCCGGAACUGACGCUGAGGUGCGAAAGCGUGGGGAGCAAACAG